rnacentral:rRNA from 1 species
UACGUAGGUGGCAAGCGUUGUCCGGAUUUAUUGGGCUUAAAGGGUGCGUAGGCGGUCCUAUAAGUCAGUGCUGAAAUAUCCCGGCUUAACCGGGAGGGUGGCAUUGAUACUGCAGGACUUGAGUAAAGUUGAGGUAGGCGGAAUUGACGGUGUAGCGGUGAAAUGCUUAGAUAUCGUCAAGAACACCGAUAGUGAAGACAGCUUACUAAACUUUAACUGACGCUGAGGCACGAAAGUGUGGGGAUCAAACAGG